AACGCAAUAGCGAUGGCGCAAAAGACUGGGAAACUUUAACGCAUUCCAACAUGCACCUUUUGAUCGAUAAUAAGCACAGAUGAACACUGACAUAUUAAACCAUGUAUACACCAAAUUGAGCAAGUGCCCAGACGCUGGCAAAAUAGCAGAUUAGCUCAAACAACAGUUGUUGCAACAGGGUGCCAGACCACUUGCUCAAUUUAGGGGAUACCACUAGUGUUUGCUAAAAGUGGGACUCGUCACCAUGUUUCGAGUUUCCUCACGUUACUACCUACUACAAAAAAUUAAAUAAAUAAAAAAAUUUUA